UGUGUGCCAGAGCCUGAAAUAGGCCUGAUGGCAGCUGUCAGCUUCUAUCUGAUGGGAGACGGCGGAGGAGCCGGAGAGAGAGACGCCGAGAUGACAGAGUAAGCACAGCCACUGGACGCAACGCUGGAUGAGGAUCAAUGAGGAGAGUAAGGGAGCUUAAAAAAUAUUUCAAGGCUCCCUGUGAGAGAACUGCAGCAACGAUUGACAUCUUGGAAUCUUCAAAUCCUCGUAACAACCAGUAGAUGCUGUGUACCUGCUAAUCGAGGGCUGAGGAGUGAUGCCAGACAAAAUCCUUUUCUUCCCUACCAUCACAAAGGAUCCAAAUCAGAGACAAGGAGAAUCCCAGGUGGACUUCAGCCCGCAGCAGAAGAAGAAAAAAUAAAAAGCGUAUUUGUGCCAGGGAAGUGGACACGGCACACAACGACCCAGAAGGCCUCCGCAGGGACCCAGUAUUUCUUCAGCACCCUCCACAUCAUACCUUCCCUGACUCGGUUUGUCAGCCUUCUCCCCAUCCAUAAGCAAGAUAUGCAUCAUAAAACCAAACUGCUAAGGCCUUCUGUGUAAUUUCACGGGGGUAAAGAUGUGAAAGCGCUGCUUCUCAUUAAUCAGUUGAGGCCUCUUUCUAACACCAUCCAGUGAGCUUCCCACAGAGUGUGACUAGUGUACUCUCAAUAAUUGGAACACCCUCUGUUGCUCCCCUUUCAUAAAACCUGAGACCACCUACCCAGUCUGCCCAUCCACAGACUAUGCCUGAAUCCUCUAGGCGACAAUGAAGAGGGAUGUCAGGAAAGACGGCGCUCAAAGCCGUCAACAUCUUCAGCGUCUCGGGCCUAAUCUUGUCCACCCUCAGUGCCCGCGCUGAAUAUCUCUUUUUAAUGACUUUGGCCACCUCUGCCAUGGGGAUGGACUCUUGAGACGAGGACCGGAUUGGAGCUGCAGUACAGUUUUCAUUAAAUUCCUUAUGGGCCAACCUAAAAUCUCUCUCCACAGCCCGUCUAAAUUCUUCCUGUGCCAGAGUGUUUGUUUCCAUAGACGCCACAAAUCUCGGCCUCUGCUUCAGAAGAACCCAAGUCCCUUGAUUACCAGGAGAUUUUAAAUGACUUGGUGGAUCGUUAAUGGUUCUUCAAUGGGACAAUGAUCAGAAAUAUAUGGCUAUGAAUAGCUGACCAGGCUAUGCUAGGGUGGCUU